rnacentral:rRNA from 1 species
GGAAGGUGCGAGCGUUAAUCGGAAUUACUGGGCGUAAAGCGCGCGUAGGCGGCUAGAUAAGUCGGGUGUGAAAGCCCCGGGCUCAACCUGGGAACUGCAUUCGAUACUGUCUGGCUAGAGUGUGAUAGAGGGAGGCGGAAUUCCGCAUGUAGCGGUGAAAUGCGUAGAGAUGCGGAGGAACACCAAUGGCGAAGGCAGCCUCCUGGAUUAACACUGACGCUGAGGUGCGAAAGCGUGGGGGGAGCAAACAGGAUUAGAUACCCUGGUAGUCCACGCCCGUAAACGAUGUCAACUAGCCGUUGGGAGCAAUUUGGCUCUUGGUGGCGCAGCUAACGCGAUAAGUUGACCGCCUGGGGAGUACGGUCGCAAGAUUA